CGCGAAAACUUUACAACGCUGGCGACAGCGAUAAGGGGACCUCGAGUGCCAGGAUACAAUCUUGGCUGUCGCGAUGCCUAAAAAGCAUUGCAUAGCAAGGGCCGGGCAAGACCGGUGCCAGCCGCCGCGGUAACACCGGCGGCUCGAGUGGUAACCGCUAUUAUUGGGUCUAAAGGGUCUGUAGCCGGCCGGAUAAGUCUUUUGGGAAAUCCAGCUGCUCAACAGUUGGGCUUUCAGAAGAUACUGUUCGGCUCGAGACCGGGAGAGGUGAGAGGUACUUCAGGGGUAGGGGUGAAAUCUUGUAAUCCUUGAAGGACCACCAGUGGCGAAGGCGUCUCACCAGAACGGAUCUGACGGCAAGGGACGAAAGCUAGGGGCACGAACCGGAUUAGAUACCCGGGUAGUCCUAGCCGUAAACGAUACUCGCUAGGUGUCAGCCACGGUGCGACCGUGGUUGGUGCCGUAGGGAAGCCGUGAAGCGAGCCACCUGGGAAGUACGGCCGCAAGGCUGAAACUUAAAGGAAUUGGCGGGGGAGCAC
rnacentral:rRNA from 1 species